UACGUAGGGGGCAAGCGUUGUCCGGAAUCAUUGGGCGUAAAGAGCGUGUAGGUGGCUCGGUAAGUCCGCUGUGAAAGUCCAGGGCUCAACCCUGGAAUGCCGGUGGAAACUGUCGAGCUAGAGUCCGGAAGAGGCGAGUGGAAUUCCUGGUGUAGCGGUGAAAUGCGCAGAUAUCAGGAGGAACACCAAUGGCGAAGGCAGCUCGCUGGGACGGUACUGACACUGAGACGCGAAAGCGUGGGGAGCACACCGG
rnacentral:misc_RNA from 1 species